AGAGCGCAGUCGCUGCCCUCUGAACUGGAACGGAAAGCUACUUCCGGUUGCAGUCAUUCUGCCGGGCACCGGCGACCUGUGGCGUGAGCGAGCACAGCCGGAACCCUCCACUAAACUUUUGAGAAGUUAACAUGAAGAAGAAACGAUAAGCUAGAAAGUGAAGAGAGGUGGAGUAACACCCCGCCGUUUGCCCAGUAACAGAAAGACAAGCACCACCUUCUUGCGAAAAGCCAUAUUGUCCCCUUUGAGAGGGGCCGUGAACCCCUCAAAUGAUAAAGGAGAAAAUGAAACCACCCCGCUAAAGCGUUUUCAAUCAUAGCUGGCAUUCCUACCAUCCUUUAUAGUGAUGCUACAGGACAAAGAGGAAUGGAUAAAAACAUUGGUGAGCAACUCAAUAGAGCAUAUGAAGCCUUCCGACAGGCAUGCAUGGAUAGAGAUUCAGCAGUAAGAGAGCUACAGCAAAAGCAGACUGAGAACUAUGAACAAAGAAUACGCGAGCAACAGGAACAGCUGUCAUUUCAACAAAACCUAAUUGACAGGCUGAAAUCACAGCUACUUCUCGUGGAUUCUAGUCGAGAUAACAGUUAUGGCUAUGUACCUUUGCUUGAAGACAGUGACAGAAGGAAGAAUAAUUUGACCCUUGAUGAACCACAUGAUAAAGUGAAACUAGGAACACUGAGAGAUAAGCAAUCAAAGAUGAAGGAAGAGUGAUGUAGCUGUAUCCUUUGGCACUGGGCUCCCCACCAUCUGUUAAUCUCUGCACUGUGUCCAGUGUGGUUUUCUGUGUUGAUUUCCAUUUGCUGUAAAGAGAAGCUUCUUGGAUUUGGGGUGCUAGCUACACUUGAAUAUAGAUUUAGACUGUAGUAAGGAUUUCUCUGGUCUAAGAAGGUAGCAACACUAGAUUAUUUUCUAAGACCCAAGACCUCACUAGCCCAGAAGCUAGAUAGAUUUCUAAUACCAGGCAUGAUUUCCCUCCUGUUGUGUGGGCCUUGAGAGUGUUCCAUUCACCACAGUAGUUACAUAUGCUUUACACUGUCAUGUAACUAGUUUCUCUAAAGUUACUCAAAAAUUAACAGCAUAAAAAACAAAAAUUAUUUUCUCGAUUUCUGUGUCAGAAGAUUGUUAGACAACUGUUGACUGCCACUGACAUGGGGGUGCCACUUAUUGCGCCUUUCUGUGUGUCUUGUCAGGAUGGUUAUUGUCAUGGUUCAUACGUAUUACAGCUGUUUAAUUACAUCUCUUUUGUAACAUCUUUCAUAGUGUAUUCUGGAACCACAGGAAGGAGACUUUCAGAUCUUUACCAGCCUAUCAAAAGGAGGGUUUCUUAUACCUGGCUCUUGGUUUUUUGUUAGACUGUAGUUCUUGAGCUAAUCACAAAUGGCUUGGCUUCCUCCAAUAAAUAUGUAUAUUAUGUGCGUGCACAUAUACUUAUGAACCAUGUAUAACCUUAGGUAAAUAUAAAAUAAUACAAUUCCUUGAUGCUUUCUCAAACAAUCUUGGUGUUAUGUGUCCUUGUUCCUCCUCCCUCUGUACUAACCACCUCCCUCCCACCCAGUUGGAGGUGUAACCCGCUCCCUGUGCCUCCUCUUCCUGUUUCACAUCAUCUGUAUCCUGCUACCCCUUUACCUCCCCCACACUGUGGUUCCUUGGUUCUUUUGGUUUCUGUAGUUACUCCAUGUUUUCUACUCCUUUCUGAGGACUUGAUGCUAGGAACCACAGAUGAGAGAGAGAGCAUGGAGUAUUUGUCUUUCUGGGUCUGAGUUGUCUCACUCAGUAUAAUCUUUUGCUACCCAUUUAUCUGAAAAUCCUGAGUUCCUUUCUUAGAGCUGAAGAGUAUGCCAUUGUGUAUGUGUGCCACUUCUCAUUAUCCAUUGUUUUGUUGAAGGCCAUUGAGGUCGUUGCCAUUUCCUGGCUAUUGUGACUAGGACUGCUCUGAACACUGCUGAGCAAGUGCCUGUGAAGGGGAAUGUCAAGUCCUUUUGGCAUAUGCCAAAGAGUUAGACCAGAUCAUGUGGAAGAUUCAUUUUUAGUUCUUUAAGGACUUCCCAAACUGGCUUCCAGAAUGACUCUAACAAUUUACAUCCCUACCGACAGUGAAUGAGGGUUCCUCUUCUCUACAGCUUCACCAGAAUUUGUUAUCAGCUGUUUCGUUAAUCUUAGUCAUUAUAACAGGUGAGACGACAAGAAGUUUCUUCUGGAAAAGAAUCCGCCAAGGGUCUCAACAUCCCUCUGCAUCACGAAAGGGAUAAUAUAGAGAAGACUUUCUGGGACCUUAAAGAAGAAUUUCAUAGGAUUUGCUUGCUAGCAAAAGCACAGAAAGAUCACUUAAGCAAACUUAAUAUACCAGAUAUUGCAACUGACACACAGUGUUCUGUGCCUAUACAGUGUACUGAUAAAACAGAGAAACAAGAAGCGCUGUUUAAGCCCCAGGCUAAAGAUGAUAUAAAUAGAGGUAUGUCGUGCGUCACAGCUGUCACACCAAGAGGACUGGGCCGGGAUGAGGAAGAUACCUCUUUUGAAUCACUUUCUAAAUUCAAUGUCAAGUUUCCGCCUAUGGACAAUGACUCUAUUUUUCUACAUAGCACUCCAGAGGCCCCGAGCAUCCUUGCUCCUGCCACACCUGAGACAGUGUGCCAGGACCGAUUUAAUAUGGAAGUCAGAGACAACCCAGGAAACUUUGUUAAAACAGAAGAAACUUUAUUUGAAAUUCAGGGAAUUGACCCCAUAACUUCAGCUAUACAAAACCUUAAAACAACUGACAAAACAAACCCCUCAAAUCUUAGAGCGACGUGUUUGCCAGCUGGAGACCACAAUGUGUUCUAUGUAAAUACGUUCCCACUUCAAGACCCGCCUGACGCACCUUUUCCCUCACUGGAUUCCCCAGGAAAGGCUGUCCGAGGACCACAGCAGCCCUUUUGGAAGCCUUUUCUUAACCAAGACACUGACUUAGUGGUACCAAGUGAUUCAGACUCAGAGCUCCUUAAACCUCUAGUGUGUGAAUUCUGUCAAGAGCUUUUCCCACCAUCCAUUACAUCCAGAGGGGAUUUCCUCCGGCAUCUUAAUACACACUUUAAUGGGGAGACUUAAAUCACGUUUGAAAACAGACAUAUCAUGUUCUCUGUGGUGGUUUUGGAUUUGUAACGCUAGAGAACGCUUUCUCGUGAGCCAAAUGUAAGAUUGAUUAUAAAGUUGUUACUUUAUCUUUUAAGAGAUCAUUUUGUAUAGAACUAUAACUCAUUAUAUUAUUCAUGUUUAUACCUAUAAUUUCUACAUUUCAAAAUUACACAUGUGACUUACAGAGUUAUUCAGUCAUAAUUUAUGUUUCAAAUAGCUAAGUUUAUUGUUUGACUAUUGUGAGAUCUAUUAAAUUUAGUAAUAGCAAAUGUUUAUAGGAUAUUCAAAUUUCAUUUGAAUUUUUAAUUAUUUUUGCUACAGGUAAUAUUCCUUUAAAAUACGUAUAUAACGUACAGAGAAUAACAGACAAUAUGAUCUAAGUAAAUGUCGAAUCAAUCAUUAGUUGCCCAGGGAAAUUUAAACAUUAUAGAUCAUUUUUAAAUAAUACACAUAGUUUUAAUUUUUACUGUGUGUAUAGAUGCAUGAUUAAAUGACUUAAAUAUUAAAAGUGACUUACGUCGUGCUUAUUAAAAGUGUUCUUUGUUUCUGAGAUAAAUAAAUAAAUCGCAUUUGGGGAGGGUUCAUAAAA